CGAGACGGGGCAAGGGGAAGCAACUCGGAACGGCUUUCGGCCGAGAGGGGAAAGGCGGCCCGUCGGAGGAGGUGGCUCAUCAUCUGGAUGGGAUCCAUUGCUCCUUCAUUCCUCUGGCCCCUCGUCCACGCGCGCGUCCGCCCUCCGCACCGAGGCACUCAGGGGCAGCCGGAAUCCUUCCACCGCAUCCCUCGCCCCUCCUUGGCCGAGGUACUGAUCCUUCGAGGUUGUUGAAGGACAAAUUGAGAAGCUUCAUAGACUUGAAGAGCUUCAAGAAUUCAGGGAUUUCACCUGUUAAGUUGUUCUGAGAUAGGUCCAUCACAGUGAUGCCUCUCAAAUUCACAAAAGAUUGAGGGAUUCUUCCAUGAAGAUGGUUGCCCUCCAUGUGGAGUGACUCCAAUUGGACGCACUGACCCAGAGUAGAUGGUAUCUGACCAGACAGUUGGUUAUAGGAGAUAUUCAGUGGACCGAGAUUGAUCAACUCGCCAAUCUCCAUUGGUAUUUCUCCAGAGAGUUGGUUGUGAGACAAGUCCAAACCUUCAGAAAGGUCGGAAAGAGUAAAGAGCUCCUUUGGUAUGCUUCCGUUGAAGCUGUUACAAGAGAGGUUCAAUAUGUGCAGUUUUUUGCAGUCUCCUAAAGCUCCUGGGAUUGGGCCACUCAAACUGUUUUCUUGUAAGUAAAGCUCACUCAAUUGACUCAAAUUACCAACUGAAAGUGGGAUCUGUCCAGAAAAUUUGUUCUGGGACAAGCUUAAGACAAACAAGUUGGGAAGAUUUCCAAUUGAUUCAGGAAGAUUCCCGGUAAGCAAAUUCCGUUCCAUGUAAAGAAGCUUGAGGCCUGUGAGGUGCUCUAUCUCAUGUGGUAUGGUGCCAGAAAUUUUAUUUGAUCUUAGUAACAGUACCUCUAUGCUCUUUGAAAGGCCUGCAACGGCACUCGGCAAGACUCCUUGAAGGAUUUUUACAUCCAAGCGUAAGUUCACCAGUUGUGUGCAAUUUGUCAACGAGGAUAGGAAAGACCAGUCUCCUGCUUCAAGUUGAUUCUUGCCUAGAUUCAGAUCGACUAGGCUGGGUAAAGUCCCAAAAGAUGGAAUGCUGCCAUAGAAUGCAUUAUUGCGGAGGUUGAUCACCUGGAGAUUGGCUGUGUUUGCUAGUGAAGUGGGGAUUUGGCCUUGGAACCAGUUUCCUUGCAUAAUCAAAGUUUGGAUGCUUGGAAGGGUAUAUCCAAUGUUGUGUGGAAGCUCCCCUACAAGAUUGUUUGUAGCCAUGCCAAGGUAUGAGAGUGCUGACAUGUUGUAAAGAGAGGCUGGGACACUCCCUGUCAAAAAGUUAUAAGUGAUGUCUAGUAUUUCCAGGUUUUGAAUUUCAUCUAUACUCAUGGGGAUGUUACCUUCGAAAUUAUUAUCUCCAAGCAAGAGCCAGCGAAGGGACGAAAAGUUCCCUAUAAAGGAAGGUAUGGUGCCAGAAAGAUUAUUUGAUUGCAAGAUAAGAUACUGCAAGGGUGAGUCAAUGUUCAACAAGGCUGGUAUGGACCCAGCAAAGCUGUUUGUUCCCAGUAAUAACUUUUGAAGUGACGUACUGUUAAACAGUGCAGGAGGAAUCUCUCCACUCAGGUGAUUGUUUGAUAAGGCCAAAAGUUGAAGUGAGGAACUAUUAGCUAGGAGAGGCGGGAUAGGUCCUGUGAGGCUAUUGUUCGUGAGAACAACAGAGUGAAGAGAAGAGCUGCUUCCAAGUGAACGUGGAAUGCUGCCCGUCAGACUAUUUGUAGCAAGACGUAAAACUGCAAGGUUUCGGAGCAUCCCCAACCCUUCUGGGAUACCUCCACUGAGCUUGUUGUGACCCAAACUGAGCUGCUGCAUAUCUGAGCAUUGGCUCAGGCUUGGGGGGAUCACACCAUCAAGGGAGUUGCUUCCAAGAUCAAUAGCUUGAAGGUGAACGCAUGAAGACAGAGUGCUUGGGAUCCUGCCAGUAAGAUUGUUUGUGCUGAGGUUAAGGUACCACAGCCUAUUUAGUUGCCCAAGUUCAGGUGGUAUUUGGCCAGUAAGUUGAUUGUUGGGGAUGUGGAUUUUUGUGAGGAAAGUGAGAUUGCCGAUACAUGGUGGUAUCUGUCCAUCGAGGUCAAGUGACUCGAGGUCCAGUGCAGUGACACGAGAUGCAUGUCUCUUGCUGCAAGUAACACCGGACCAACUGCAGAAUUGCAGUGAGUCAUUUUUCCAUGAGGCCAGGAGUCUAGCAGAGGUCGUGAGAUGGAGUUUAAGGCAGCGGAGAGCAUGGAGGUCGGUGUUAGAAUCAUUUUGGGGUGCUAUAGAAUCUAAUGAAGAUGCAUAAACAAGGGAGCAGAGGACAAGGACCAGGGGAAGUGAGGAACUGAGAGUGCCCAGAGCCUGAGUAGACAUGUAAUUUCUAUCACACACGCUUCGACAGUUUAGUUGAGGAACGGACUGACGACCGGUCAAGCUCGUGGAACAAGAAGGCAAUGGAGAACUCACUUGAGAGCUGCAAUGCGCUGUGGUCGUCCUCUCGCGACACCCCGGGAUGGAGUUUGAGGCACUGAAGGGCUUGCAAGUCGGUCUGAGGAUCAUUCUGCAGCGCUGCAGCACCUAAUGAAGGCGGCCUUGUGUUGAAUAAUCAACCAGGCCUUCAGCCAAUCAAGCAUCAGUUUAGAUUAUUCUUCCAAUUCAACUUUGAGAUGGUCAAAUUACAUGAUGGUCAAACGGACAUUCAUAUUUAUAUUCUACUGUACUGUACUGUGUGAAGACGUACUCAAGGCACCACUUGCUGGUGGGGGUUGGAAGUUGGAGUCCAAACUACAUAAUGAUGCAUGAAUUAAGGAAUCCAAA